GCCUGGGUGGCUCAGUCAGUUAAGCGCCAGACUUCGGCUCAGGUGAUGAUCUCACGAUUUGUGGGUUAGAGCCCCACACUGGGCU
rnacentral:tRNA from 1 species